GCCGAGCCCGCCUUGCUGAGGGGCGGCGGGGGCCGCUCCCGGGCGGCUCCGCCGGCCGCCGCCGCGCCGGCUUCCCUCAGCUUUUCGCAGCACCUCCCUCGCCGGCCUCCACCCCCGUCCAGUGGCUGUCCCAGCUGCCGCAGCCGCCGGCGCGCCUGCUGUGCCCAGUGCUGAGCGAGCGGCGCGGGGGAGCUGCGGCGCGGGGCAGGAGGGACGGGAGGGGACGGGACAGACGGGAUAGGACAAGACGGGACGGGACAGGACAAGACGGGACGGGCGGCCGCCCGGCGCCAGAAUGGUUGUCUGGGGAAAACAGCACUGCUGUGUUGGCAGAAUACAGGACAUUUUCUUGAGAUUCAAGAUUGUUCAAGCGGUCCUUUUACUUCAGUUAUUCCUGGCUACAGCAAGCAAAGAUCAGGAGGAUUUCCUAGGGCGAUACAAAGCUGUCUUUAAGACUGCAUGUGAAGAUCCGUGGAGUAUGUCAUCAAGAGUUUCUCUGCGUCCCUUGAGAGAAUUCCUUGUCUGUGUGCACCUCAAGCUGUAUUCCUCAAAUAGUCCGUGGACAGCAUAUGUAUAUGUUGAAAAACCUCUUCACACCAAUCUGUCUGCAAAUAAGUAUGAUCUUGGACUUACAGGAGAUCAUGGUAAAUUGAAGAUAUGGUUGUUCAGAAAACAAAUAAAUACAACUGUAAGACUUCGUAAAAACACUUGGAACCAAAUAUGUAUCCAGUGGAAAAGUGACAAUGAGGAGAUGAAGGUAUUCAUAAAUGGAAAACAAGAAUCACGCAAGAAACUAAAUGGGAAAUUUAAUUUGCCUGGAAAAGGCCAGUUCUUACUUGGCUGUUCAAAGCUGCGAGGUACAUCUGCGUCACCUCACCAGGGAAUGACUGGGGAGCUGUACCUGUUCAGAAUGUGGGACAAGGCAAAUAUGACACAAUCUAAGGACUGCCAGGAUAGCGGUGUUAUACGCUGGAGAAAGGAGGAUUGGACCUAUAAUACGACAGUAGAAGAGGAUAACUCUUUACAAUGUGUUGAAACUACUGCUAUGCUGCGUGGCAAAAAACAAGUUACAGGUAUGUUGGGGUUCUGUGGGAUUUUGCCCCAUUGUUCUUCUAUUUUAGAAAGUGUGUAGGAAGAUGGCCGCUGCUGCUACUUUGUAAUUCAUGGAGAUAGUUAAGCAUGUGCAAACAUUUGCAAAUUAAUUUUCUGUAUCAUCCUUGUGGCUUAUUAGCUAAUUUUGUGGUGCAAAUAGCAUCAGUAGUUUUCCAGAGAAAAUGAAAAUAAAGUCUCUCAGAUGAUUCUGAUUCUCCCUUCAUUACAGAAAUUGUAUUUAUCCUUUGGAAAGAAGCUAUUGCUAGUUUUCAGUAAGGCAAGCAAAAUAGUCUUACUAGAGCAAGGAAUUAAUUAGUGAUUAGCAUUUCAGAAACUCCUUGUCUACGAUUUUUAAUUUAAAAAAUCUAGUUUUCUUCAGGGACUUUUGGUAUAUCUGAUUUAAGUCUUCUGCAGCAGUAGAAAAGGCCUUACAGUAUAAUUAGUGUAUUGUAAGCAACAUUAUAGGAUGACUUUUGACCUUUGAGAGGUGUUGAAAUAACUUAAGUAUAUUUUUUGAAUAGUGCUUCAUGUUUGCAUCCAGCUGUUCUUUAGAUUUUGUUUCUAUGAUAACUGUGACCUGUAACUUGAUAUGUCUCUGACAGUAUCAAAAACCACUCAGUGACUGAAAGGGCCAACUUUAAAGUUGCUAUGUGAAUGAGAUAUCAAAUUUCCUAAAUUAUUUUUGAUCAAAAUACUGACUGUAACAAUAUCAAAAAUCUAAUACCUAGUGGUUGCUAUAUAAACAGUUGGCUGGUUCCUGUUGAAAUCAGAGGUUCAAACUUGAAAUGAAUUAGGGGUUUUUUUAUCGCUACUUUUUGCAGGAUAGAAAAGAAAAUACAUACGAAUGGGAUAAAUUUUAAGUGGCAAGUAUCACUGUUAUUGCAAAAAGUCUGAGAAGAGCUCUUCAUACCCAGCUAGAGCCAUCUUGUGUAUGCUUGAUUCCCAUUCCCACAAUUAGCAAGGUGCUCAGGAUAAGCAUGUAGCUUUCAGGCUAGUGUGGCACAUAUCUUGGGUCAAUAAUUUUUGGUUUCUUAGCAUUAUACUGUUCAAACUGUCCAGAAUUUCUCGAAAAAAAAAUUUCUUGCACUGAAUUCUAUUUGAGUGCAUAAAAAUUGUAAUUUUUUUUUUUUUAACCAGAGGUUGCUAUAUCUGCCUUUUUUGGCAACCUGGAAGUGUUGUUCUGAAAGAGCAGGUGUUGCCCUCUUCUGGUGAAUGCAGUGAACUUCUGAUAAUAUAAGAAAAGCCUGCUGAGGAUGAUCGUGUAUGUGUCUAGAACUUCAUAAUGGGUUUGUUUGUUUGUUUUUUUAACCUGAAACAGAAUUUACAGAUUCAGAAGAAUCAGCUGCAACAACAGUUUCUGGUAAGAAAGUCAGGACUUUACUGAUUUCUGCAAUGUUUUUUAUUUCCUUUUAUGUAAAUCUGCUUUUAUCUGUGGUAAUGCAGGAACGUUGUAAUGUAACAGAGUUCCAACACUAAAAUGUUUUCAUUUAAAAUUAAUUGUUUCACUCUACAUUGUAAUGAAAUACCUUACCUUAUAGGAUCACUCAUGGCUUGUGGCUGUGGUACUUGGGGGUGAAGUUAGGUGCAAGUUGCUUGAUCAGGAGCCUUUUGUUGAGUUAUCUGAACAGUGAAGAGUUUGCUGAGAUGGCAGAGGAGGAAAACUGUAAUGAGAGCUCCUUUGCAUCUCCUCCCACCCUGGCAGAUGUUAUUUCAUGCAGUAGAUUACACUACACACAUGCGUGCAUACACACAAGGCUCUAAAAACUUCUGGAACUGGAGAUGAUAAGCAUCAUCUAUGAAAGCAUUUUUAAAAAAUUCAGAAUGAGACACACCAAAAUAAGCUGUGUGAAAGCCAGUUGCUUUCUUGCUUAAUGUAUACUGACAUAGAGUGUUCUGGAUAAAAGACACACAAGAUCUUGUUGUUUUGCAGAUGUAGUCACUCUUUGGGAAUGGUUCAUCUUUAACAACUGCAUCACAUUCAGUAUUUGUGUAGUAUAUACAAGGCCAAGAAGAUGAAACCAGCAUUACUUUUCACUCUGAUUGCUCAUAUUUUGGCUACUUGUUAGUUGCCUUGGAAAAUUCUUCUUCUGUUGUGAAUCUGCUCUGGCCCAUUUAAAAAAAGUUACUAAGUUGUCAUAUUGAAGUGAUAUAAAGUGGUCUUCUAACCACUUUCUAUUCUUGUGUUGACACCUAAAAUAUUCUUACUAAGCACAGAUAUUUGUCUAUUGUCAUAAUUUUGCUGAAAAGAACUUUGCAUCAUUACUCUAUUUUAUUUAUAUAUGUUUACUGACAAAAAUAGCUUUUUUGGAGAGACAGUUUGCCAAACCCAGUGUGUCAUGUCUGCUUAUGAAUGCUGUGAGUUCCUGCAGGAAAAGGUCCUUGAGGUUAAGCAGUUAUUGCAAUUGGAUAUGCAAAAUUUAUCUGCAUCUUCUGAAAGAAUGAAACCAGUAAAAGGAGGACAUUUGAUUCCAAGCUGGUUGUAUUCAGAUACUCAGAUUUUUGAAAUAAUGUGAACAUUAUUUCAAUUAUUAGUAUUGAAUAACGUGAACACUCUUAACAAGCUUUGAAGUUGUUCUUAAAAUGAAAUUUAGGUAAAUAAUAUUCAGUUUAUGUUCAGCAUUUUGCAGGCUUGAUCUUUUUUCUCAAAAAUUCAUAGAGGUAGGAUACUUUAUUAAUACAAUUUUUACUUUUAUCUUUUUUUCCCUAGAAUUCUCUAUUGUUACUUUUAUCACAUAUCCAAUUAAUUCUUCAGGCAAGAUGUUCUUACUGUUUCUCUUAUUUAGAUUUUGUUGGAUUUAGACUUUUAGGAUUUUUUAUGUUUUAUUUUUAUAGGUUUUACUGU
rnacentral:lncRNA from 13 species